AUAAUGAUACUCCCGUCCAGUCACAGCCCUGCAGGGAUGCAGGAUCACGCAAUGAGGGCGGCUCUGUGAGAACCACAGAGGGGUAAAUACCCGUGA
rnacentral:ncRNA from 1 species